UAGGGAAUAUUAGUAAUGGGCGAAAGCCUGAACUAGCAACGCCGCGCGUGCGAAGAAGGCCUUCGGGUUGUAAAGCACUUUUUGAGAGGAUGAGGAAGGACGGUACUCUCGGAGUAAGUCUCGGCUAACUACGUGCCAGCAGCCGCGGUAACACGUAGGAGGCGAACGUUAUCCGGAUUUACUGGGCGUAAAGCGCGUGUAGGUGGUUUGGUAAGUAGGGCGUGAAAGCUCCUGGCUCAACUGGGAGAGGCCGUUCUAAACUGCCGAACUAGAGGAUGGUAGAGGGAGGUGGAAUUCCGGGUGUAGCGGUGGAAUGCGCAGAUAUCCGGAGGAACACCAGUGGCGAAAGCGGCCUCCUGGACCAUUCCUGACACUCAGACGCGAAAGCUAGGGUAGCAAACGG
rnacentral:rRNA from 1 species